CCCUUAGAUGUUCUGGGCUGCACGCGCGCUACACUGAUGUGUUCAUCGGGUUCGACCUUGCCCGGGAGGGUUGGGUAAUCCUUUCAAAACACAUCGUGAUGGGGAUAGAUUAUUGCAAUUAUUAAUCUUCAACGAGGAAUGCCUAGUAAGCGCAAGUCAUCAGCUUGCGUUGAUUACGUCCCUGCCCUUUGUACACACCGCCCGUCGCUCCUACCGAUUGAAUGGUCCGGUGAAGCGUUCGGACCGUGGCCUUUGGACGGUUCGCCGUCUGUUGGCUGCGGGAAGUUCGUUAAACCUUAUCAUUUAGAGGAAGGAGAAGUCGUANCA
rnacentral:rRNA from 1 species